rnacentral:rRNA from 1 species
GGAUCAGGUAGGAAUACCCGCUGAACUUAAGCAUAUCAAAACCGGGA